AAUAACAAAGCAGCACUUUCAAAUUAAAGAAAGAAAAAUAAUGGGAAUAAAAAUUUUAAGUAAAUAUUCACAGAAAGCAAGCUGCUACCACAAAAUUAAUUUUAGUUCAAAUAAAAUUUAAGGAAGAAAUAAUAAACAACAGGAUAGACACUGCACAUGGAGGGACAAUAGAACCGAGUAGGUGAAGCAACGUCAAGUCCAACGCUGGCCUCGCCUCCAGGACGUACAAAGAAACUAACAGGAAGAGCAGGUCUAGAGAGGGAUGCUGGAACUCAUACUUCUGAAUUUAAAUGGGAAAUAGACAAAGAUGUUAUGUGUUUAUAAAAUAUUUUAAAAUCACAACAAAUGCUGAAUAUACAUUUUCUAAUAUAUGUAAUACUUACUAAAUGGGACCCAUAUUAGGUUGCAAAAGAAAUUACAAAAAAACUGGAGCUAGGGACCAAAGGACUAACAGAAGUCAGAACAAAAAACACGCCCCAUAUAUUUUAGGAAAAAACGGCACAGUGAUUUAAUGGUAAAUCACUAUAAACAUGAAGGGAUUCACCUAGAAUAGAGAUGAGAUUCCAGAGUUCAAGACGACAACAUGUGUCAGCCUGACUUUCUGAAUGACUGCAUAGGAAAGCCUGCCAUCCAAGGAAGCGCAGAAAAGGACACCCCUCAGGUCCUGGAUGGAGGAGGAUGACCCCCAAUACUGGAUGGAGAAGGAUGCCCCCCAGUCCUAGAUGGAGAAGGAUAACCCCCAGUCCUGGAUGGAGAAGGAUAACCCCCCAGUCCUGGAUGAAGAAAGAUGCCCCCCAAGUCCUAAAUGGAGAAGGAUGCCCCCCAAGUCCAGAUGAAGAAGAAUUUCCCCCACUCCUGAAUGGAAUAGGAUCCCCCUCAAGUCCUGGGUGGAUAAGACACCUCCCAAGUCCUGGGUGGAGAAGGACAUCCUUCAGGUCCCAGAUGGAGAAGGAUGUUCCCCAAGUCCUGCUUGGAGAGGGUGGCUCUGGGGACCGCAUGGGGAAGGAUGCCCUUUUUCCAGCCUCCCCAUCCAUACUUAUCCUGACCUGUUAGUGUAGAACAAAGAGAUUUGGAGGAAGAAACACGGGACUAAAUUUACUCAGAAUGUUUUCCUUUUAAUUAACAUUUUAUAAAUUCUGAUUUUUCUUUGAUAAAAAUAAGCGAAAUGUAUGAUAUAAACACAGUGUAACAACCAAUUAGACCUAUUUUUCCAAAUCUGUGUCCUGGUUACCGGCUCUAUUAGUCAUUCUGCU
rnacentral:lncRNA from 1 species